UACGAAGGGGGCUAGCGUUGCUCGGAAUCACUGGGCGUAAAGGGUGCGUAGGUGGAUUUUUAAGUCAGGGGUGAAAUCCUGGAGCUCAACUCCAGAACUGCCUUUGAUACUGGGAAUCUUGAGUUCGGGAGAGGUGAGUGGAACUGCGAGUGUAGAGGUGAAAUUCGUAGAUAUUCGCAAGAACACCAGUGGCGAAGGCGGCUCACUGGCCCGAUACUGACACUGAGGCACGAAAGCGUGGGGAGCGAACAGG
rnacentral:rRNA from 1 species